UACGUAGGGAGCAAGCGUUGUCCGGAUUUACUGGGUGUAAAGGGUGCGUAGGCGGCUCUGCAAGUCAGGCGUGAAAGCUAUGGGCUUAACCCAUAGACUGCGUUUGAAACUGUGGAGCUUGAGUGAAGUAGAGGUAGGCGGAAUUCCCGGUGUAGCGGUGAAAUGCGUAGAGAUCGGGAGGAACACCAGUGGCGAAGGCGGCCUACUGGGCUUUAACUGACGCUGAGGCUCGAAAGCGUGGGGAGCAAAC
rnacentral:rRNA from 1 species